GAUGAACGCUGGCGGCGUGCCUAAUACAUGCCAGUCGAGCGAACGGACGAGAAGCUUGCUUCUCUGAUGUUAGCGGCGGACGGGUGAGUAACACGUGGAUAACCUACCUAUAAGACUGGGAUAACUUCGGGAAACCGGAGCUAAUACCGGAUAAUAUUUUGAACCGCAUGGUUCAAAAGUGAAAGACGGUCUUGCUGUCACUUAUAGAUGGAUCCGCGCUGCAUUAGCUAGUUGGUAAGGUAACGGCUUACCAAGGCAACGAUGCAUAGCCGACCUGAGAGGGUGAUCGGCCACACUGGAACUGAGACACGGUCCAGACUCCUACGGGAGGCAGCAGUAGGGAAUCUUCCGCAAUGGGCGAAAGCCUGACGGAGCAACGCCGCGUGAGUGAUGAAGGUCUUCGGAUCGUAAAACUCUGUUAUUAGGGAUGAACAUAUGUGUAAGUAACUGUGCACAUCUUGACGGUACCUAAUCAGAAAGCCACGGCUAACUACGUG
rnacentral:rRNA from 1 species